GGGUCAGUAGGUUGGUCGUGCCACCGGUACGUACUGGUCUCACUGAUUCCUCCUUCCUGAAGAACCGUAAUGCCAUUAAUUUGGUGUUGCGGGGAAACAGGACUGUUAAUUUGAAAAAAUUAGAGAGUUUAAAGCAAGCUAACGCUUGAAUACAUUAGCAUGGAAUAAUGAAAUAGGACGAUCGAUCCUAUUUUGUUGGUUUCUAGGAUUGACCUA
rnacentral:rRNA from 1 species